rnacentral:miRNA from 1 species
CCUGGCAGCUGUCACCCUUCCUGG